GACGAACGCUGGCGGCGUGCUUAACACAUGCAAGUCGAACGGAAAGGCCCUGCUUUUGGGGGGUGCUCGAGUGGCGAACGGGUGAGUAACACGUGAGUAACCUGCCCUUGACUUUGGGAUAACUUCAGGAAACUGGGGCUAAUACCGGAUAGGAGCUCCUGCUGCAUGGUGGGGGUUGGAAAGUUUCGGCGGUUGGGGAUGGACUCGCGGCUUAUCAGCUUGUUGGUGGGGUAGUGGCUUACCAAGGCUUUGACGGGUAGCCGGCCUGAGAGGGUGACCGGCCACAUUGGGACUGAGAUACGGCCCAGACUCCUACGGGAGGCAGCAGUGGGGAAUAUUGCACAAUGGGCGGAAGCCUGAUGCAGCAACGCCGCGUGCGGGAUGACGGCCUUCGGGUUGUAAACCGCUUUCGCCUGUGACGAAGCGUGAGUGACGGUAAUGGGUAAAGAAGCACCGGCUAACUACGUGCCAGCAGCCGCGGUGAUACGUAGGAUGCGAGCGUUGUCCGGAUUUAUUGGGCGUAAAGGGCUCGUAGGUGGUUGAUCGCGUCGGAAGUGUAAUCUUGGGGCUUAACCCUGAGCGUGCUUUCGAUACGGGUUGACUUGAGGAAGGUAGGGGAGAAUGGAAUUCCUGGUGGAGCGGUGGAAUGCGCAGAUAUCAGGAGGAACACCAGUGGCGAAGGCGGUUCUCUGGGCCUUUCCUGACGCUGAGGAGCGAAAGCGUGGGGAGCGAACAGGCUUAGAUACCCUGGUAGUCCACGCUGUAAACGGUGGGUACUAGGUGUGGGGUCCAUUCCACGGGUUCCGUGCCGUAGCUAACGCUUUAAGUACCCCGCCUGGGGAGUACGGCCGCAAGGCUAAAACUCAAAGGAAUUGACGGGGCCCCGCACAAGCGGCGGAGCAUGCGGAUUAAUUCGAUGCAACGCGUAGAACCUUACCUGGGUUUGACAUGGAUCGGGAGUGCUCAGAGAUGGGUGUGCCUCUUUUGGGGUCGGUUCACAGGUGGUGCAUGCCUGUCGUCAGCUCGUGUCGUGAGAUGUUGGGUUAAGUCCCGCAACGAGCGCAACCCUUGUUCACUGUUGCCAGCACGUUAUGGUGGGGACUCAGUGGAGACCGCCGGGGUCAACUCGGAGGAAGGUGGGGAUGACGUCAAGUCCUCAUGCCCCUUAUGUCCAGGGCUUCACGCAUGCUACAAUGGCUGGUACAGAGAGUGGCGAGCCUGUGAGGGUGAGCGAAUCUCGGAAAGCCGGUCUCAGUUCGGAUUGGGGUCUGCAACUCGACCUCAUGAAGUCGGAGUCGCUAGUAAUCGCAGAUCAGCAACGCUGCGGUGAAUACGUUCCCGGGGCU
rnacentral:rRNA from 1 species